CCUACGGGUGGCAGCAGUGGGGAAUAUUGCACAAUGGGGGAAACCCUGAUGCAGCAACGCCGCGUGAGCGAUGAAGGCCUUCGGGUCGUAAAGCUCUGUCCUAAGGGAAGAAUAUUGACGGUACCUUAGGAGGAAGCCCCGGCUAACUACGUGCCAGCAGCCGCGGUAAUACGUAGGGGGCUAGCGUUAUCCGGAAUUACUGGGCGUAAAGGGUGCGUAGGCGGUAGGGCAAGUCAGAUGUGAAAGCCCGGGGCUCAACCCCGGGAUUGCAUUUGAAACUGUCUUACUAGAGUGCAGGAGAGGAAAGCGGAAUUCCUAGUGUAGCGGUGAAAUGCGUAGAUAUUGGGAGGAACACCAGUUGCGAAGGCGGCUCUCUGGACUGUAACUGACGCUGAGGCACGAAAGCGUGGGGAGCGAACAGGAUUAGAUACCCUAGUAGUC
rnacentral:rRNA from 1 species